AGUGGGGAAUAUUGCACAAUGAGGGAAACCUUGAUGCAGCCAUGCCGCGUGUGUGAAGAAGGCCCGAGGGUUGUAAAGCACUUUCAAUUGUGAGGAAGAUUAAGUAGCUAAUAUCUGCUUAAUUUGACGUUAACUUUAGAAGAAGCACCGGCUAACUCUGUGCCAGCAGCCGCGGUAAUACAGAGGGUGCAAGCGUUAUUCGGAAUUACUGGGCGUAAAGCGCGCGUAGGCGGACUGUUAAGUCGGUUGUGAAAGCCCUGGGCUCAACCUAGGAACUGCAUCCGAUACUGGCAAUCUAGAGUUUAAGAGAGGGAAGUGGAAUUCCAGGUGUAGCAGUGAAAUGCGUAGAUAUCUGGAGGAACAUCAGUGGCGAAGGCGACUUCCUGGCUUAAAACUGACGCUGAGGUGCGAAAGCUUGGGUAGCGAACGGGAUUAGAUACCCCGGUAGUCCAAGCCGUAAACGAUGUCAACUAGCUGUUGGUCUUAUUAAAAAGAUUAGUAGCGUAGCUAACGCGAUAAGUUGACCGCCUGGGGAGUACGGUCGCAAGAUUAAAACUCAAAGGAAUUGACGGGGGCCCGCACAAGCGGUGGAGCAUGUGGUUUAAUUCGAUGCAACGCGAAGAACCUUACCAUCCCUUGACAUCCUGCGAACUUUCUAGAGAUAGAUUGGUGCCUUCGGGAACGCAGUGACAGGUGCUGCAUGGCUGUCGUCAGCUCGUGUCGUGAGAUGUUGGGUUAAGUCCCGCAACGAGCGCAACCCUUAUCAUUAGUUGCUAACAUUUAGUUGAGAACUCUAAUGAGACUGCCGGUGAUAAACCGGAGGAAGGCGGGGACGACGUCAAGUCAUCAUGGCCCUUAUGGGAUGGGCUACACACGUGCUACAAUGGGGGGUACAAAGAGCAGCCAACUGGCGACAGUGCGCGAAUCUCAUAAAACCUCUCGUAGUCCGGAUCGGAGUCUGCAACUCGACUCCGUGAAGUCGGAAUCGCUAGUAAUCGUGAAUCAGAAGGUCACGGUGAAUACGU
rnacentral:rRNA from 1 species